rnacentral:rRNA from 1 species
CGAAAGCGUGGGGAGCGAACAGGAUUAGAUACCCUGGUAGUCCACGCUGUAAACGAUGGGUGCUAGGCGUGGGCGGUGUCGACUCCGUCCGUGCCGAAGCUAACGCAUUAAGCACCCCGCCUGGGGAGUACGGCCGCAAGGCUAAAACCCAAAGGAAUUGACGGGGGCCCGCACAGGCAGCGGAGCAUGUGGUUCAAUUCGACGCAACGCGAAGAACCGUACCGAGGCUUGACAUGCGCAGGAAUGUCGUAGAAAUACGGCAGCCCUUCGGGGCCUGUGCACAGGUGGUGCAUGGCUGUCGUCAGCUCGUGUCGUGAGAUGUUGGGUUAAGUCCCGCAGCGAGCGCAACCCCUGUCCUAUGUUGCCAUCACUUCGGGUGGGGACUCAUAGGAGACUGCCGGUGACAAAUCGGAGGAAGGUGGGGAUGACGUCAAGUCAUCAUGCCCCUUACGUCUCGGGCUACACACGUGCUACAUUGGCCGGUACAGAGGGCUGCAAACCCGCGAGGGGGAGCGAAUCCCAAAAAGCCGGUCCCGGUUCGGAUUGGAGGCUGAAACUCGCCUCCAUGAAGGCGGAGUUGCUAGUAAUCGCGGAUCAGCAACGCCGCGGUGAAUACGUUCUCGGGCCUUGUACACAUCGCCCGUCACACCACGGAAGCCGGUAACACCCGAAGUCGGUGUCCUAACCCGCAAGGGGGGGAGCCGCCGAAGGUGGGAUUGGUGACUGGGGUGAAGUCGUAACAAGGUAGCCGUA